rnacentral:lncRNA from 1 species
CAGGAUGUUUCAGUACAUAGAGGCAAGAGGAAGCCCUGAGACUUUGGUCACAUCUUUAGGUCCUGACUAUCAUGAAGAUGCAAUUGGAGUACCAAAAUCACCCUAUGAAAGAUGUUUUAUCAAGUACAGGCAGCCACUGCCACGACUACAGAGGAAGGAUGGUGGAGCAUACUUGCUAGAUGGAAGAAAGAGAUACUGCCAUUGCACAGCCGACCAAGAUCCUCUCACCUUUUAGAGCUUAUGUCUUCUUCCUCCAAAUGCUACUUAAGCUAUUUUUUCCAUCCAUGCCAGAAGGAAAUCUUGUCCAGGUAAGUCUCGGUGGAGAUUGCUAGUAUCUCUCAAUUUAUGGAUUUAUGGUUUAUUCAUCAUAGAGAAAAUAAAUGAUGAUUUCUGCUUAAGCA